rnacentral:rRNA from 1 species
GAAGCGGCGUGCCUAAUACAUGCAAGUCGAGCGAACAGACGAGGAGCUUGCUUCUCUGACGUUAGCGGCGGACGGGUGAGUAACACGUGGAUAACCUACCUAUAAGACUGGGAUAACUUCGGGAAACCGGAGCUAAUACCGGAUAAUAUAUUGAACCGCAUGGUUCAAUAGUGAAAGACGGUUUUGCUGUCACUUAUAGAUGGAUCCGCGCCGCAUUAGCUAGUUGGUAAGGUAACGGCUUACCAAGGCAACGAUGCGUAGCCGACCUGAGAGGGUGAUCGGCCACACUGGAACUGAGACACGGUCCAGACUCCUACGGGAGGCAGCAGUAGGGAAUCUUCCGCAAUGGGCGAAAGCCUGACGGAGCAACGCCGCGUGAGUGAUGAAGGUCUUCGGAUCGUAAAACUCUGUUAUUAGGGAAGAACAAAUGUGUAAGUAACUAUGCACUCUCGACGUACCUAAUCA